CAGACGUGAGCGGCCCGGGAGCAGGCACUGUGUCCGAUUCACCUCUUUCUGCCUCACAAUGUGGCCCAGCGUGGGGCCUGACACUUGGAAGUUUCUCAAAGAGUUACUUGUUGAAUGAAUGAACAAAUGAAUGCUUUCUCCGAACUACUCUGAACUCUAGAUGGGAUUUACAAAGAAGGAAAGGGCUGAUCGCAGCUCCGGAUUCCUUACAUCACUUAACCAGCCAUUCGUGUGCCUCCGGGAUUCAAGGGGGCGGUGAACCCCUAAGAGCCUGGCUGGAUACCCCACUCCCUUCUGCUGACCAGUCCAGCCUGGGAUCCUGUGAGGUGAUCUGCAAGAAGUCCAGGCAGUUGAAUGACCUUUGCUGAACAUCAGCCUUACACAAGAAUGUACAUCCUCUGAGAACAAGAGCCUUGCAUGAAGGAGGCCAGCUGGGAAGCUGAUGCCCUGAGCUCUGGCAGUUGCAGUCACAGAGGUGAUGGCUAUUUAGAGAUACGUAAGGAUGGAGACAUUGGUGUUUAGACUGACUGACUAUGGGGGAUGACGUGAGAAAGGAGGACACUGGGUUGCUGGUCCAUCUCAGAUGGAGAAAGGGCACGGGAUUGAGGGCGUGCAUGGCUCAGGAUUCCCUGGCAGAGGCCAUGCUGAGACCUGCAUCCUGGAGUGGUGGUGUUUGUGUGGGGAGACUGGCUAGAUGCACACCAAAUCCCUUUCUUCUUCUUUCAAGCUUCCAGCCACAUUUCCCAGCCUUCCUGCAGUUAGAUGGGGGCCAGGUGAAGCUAUGUC